rnacentral:rRNA from 1 species
AUUGAACGCUGGCGGCAUGCCUUACACAUGCAAGUCGAACGGUAACGCGGGGCAACCUGGCGACGAGUGGCGAACGGGUGAGUAAUGUAUCGGAACGUGCCCAGUUGUGGGGGAUAACUGCUCGAAAGAGCAGCUAAUACCGCAUACGACCUGAGGGUGAAAGCGGGGGAUCGCAAGACCUCGCGCAAUUGGAGCGGCCGAUAUCAGAUUAGGUAGUUGGUGGGGUAAAGGCCCACCAAGCCAACGAUCUGUAGCUGGUCGGAGAGGACGACCGGCCACACUGGGCCGGAGACACGGCCCAGACGCCUACGGGAGGCAGCAGUGGGGAAUUUUGGACAAUGGACGCAAGUCUGAUCCAGCCAUGCCGCGUGCGGGAAGAAGGCCUUCGGGUUGUAAGCCGCUUUUGUCAGGGAAGAAACGCUCUGGGUUAAUACCUCGGGGUAAUGACGGUACCUGAAGAAUAAGCACCGGCUAACUACGUGCCAGCCGCCGCCGUAACAC